UAAUAAACCCGAUUGUAGCGGAAACAAAAGCUUUUUCUGCUUUUGUUGUAGCAAAAAGCGGGACUGAAA
rnacentral:sRNA from 1 species